CCUACGGGGGGCAGCAGUGGGGAAUAUUGGACAAUGGGGGCAACCCUGAUCCAGCCAUGCCGCGUGUGUGAAGAAGGCCCUCGGGUUGUAAAGCACUUUCAGUGAGGAAGAACGCCUGGUGGUUAAUACCCAGCAGGAAAGACAUCACUCACAGAAGAAGCACCGGCUAACUCCGUGCCAGCAGCCGCGGUAAUACGGAGGGUGCGAGCGUUAAUCGGAAUUACUGGGCGUAAAGCGCGCGUAGGUGGCUUGAUAAGCCGGUUGUGAAAGCCCCGGGCUCAACCUGGGAACGGCAUCCGGAACUGUCAAGCUAGAGUGCAGGAGAGGAAGGUAGAAUUCCCGGUGUAGCGGUGAAAUGCGUAGAGAUCGGGAGGAAUACCAGUGGCGAAGGCGGCCUUCUGGACUGACACUGACACUGAGGUGCGAAAGCGUGGGUAGCAAACAGGAUUAGAUACCCCAGUAGUC
rnacentral:rRNA from 1 species